rnacentral:tRNA from 1 species
ACUUAAGUAGUUUAAUUAAAAUUUUGGCUUGUGGUGCCAAGAAUAUAAGGUUUAUCUUAUCUUAGGUU